rnacentral:rRNA from 1 species
UACAGAGGUGGCAAGCGUUGUUCGGAAUUACUGGGCGUAAAGGGCGCGUAGGCGGCCUUGUAAGUCCUGUGUGAAAUCCCCCGGCUCAACUGGGGAACUGCACAGGAGACUGCUUGGCUUGAGUUCGGGAGAGGGAAGCGGAAUUCCGGGGUGUAGCGGUGAAAUGCGUAGAUAUCCGGAGGAACACCGGUGGCGAAGGCAGCACUCUGGGACGGUACUGACGCUGAGACGCGAAAGCGUGGGGAGCAAACAGG